rnacentral:rRNA from 1 species
GAUGAACGCUGGCGGCGUGCUUAACACAUGCAAGUCGAACGAUGAAGCCCAGCUUGCUGGGUGGAUUAGUGGCGAACGGGUGAGUAACACGUGAGUAACCUGCCCUUGACUCUGGGAUAAGCGCUGGAAACGGCGUCUAAUACCGGAUACGAGCUUCCACCGCAUGGUGAGUUGCUGGAAAGAAUUUCGGUCAAGGAUGGGCUCGAGGCCUAUCAGGUAGUUGGUGAUGUAACGGCUCACCAAGCCGACGACGGGUAGCCGGCCUGCGAGGGUGACCGGCCACACUGGGACUGCGACACGGCCCAGACUCCUACGGGAGGCAGCAGUGGGGAAUAUUGCACAAUGGGCGCAAGCCUGAUGCAGCAACGCCGCGUGAGGGACGAAGGCCUUCGGGUCGUAAACCUCUUUUAGCAGGGAAGAAGCGAAAGUGACGGUACCUGCAGAAAAAGCACCGGCUAACUACGUG